GGCUUAGAAGCAGCCACUCAUUAAAAGAGUGCGUAAUAGCUCACUGGUCGAGUGAUCCCGCGCCGAAAAUUUAACGGGGCUAAACUAUAAACCGAAGCUUGGGAUACCGCAAGGUAUGGUAGGAGAGCGUCAUGUAAGGGGUGAAGUCAUAGCGAAAGCGGUGGUGGACUUUACAUGAGUGAGAAUGCCGGAAUGAGUAGCGAGAAUUAAGUGAGAAUCUUAAUGGCCGAAAGUCUAAGGUUUUUGGAGGAAGGUUCGUCCGCUCCAAGUAAGUCGGGAGCUAAGGCGAGGCCGAAAGGCGUAGUCGAUGCACAUACGGUUGAUAUUCCGUAACCACUGACAACUUAAACAAAAUGACACUUUAGAAGGGCUUGACCCGGGUGCUGGUAAUCCCGGGCGUAAGGGACCGAAAUUUAGUAGGGAAGCAAGCUUGGAUGGAGGCGAGAAAAGUUUUGUGUAUGUAAUGUUGGUGCCCGUACCGCAAACCGACACAGGUGGACAGGAAGAGAAUUCUAAGGCCAGCGGGAGAAGGGUAGUUAAGGAACUCGGCAAAUUGACUCCGUAACUUCGGGAAAAGGAGUGCUCUCGAGAGAGAGCCGCAGUGAAUAGGCCCAGGCGACUGUUUAGCAAAAACACAGGUCUCUGCCAAAUCGAAAGAUGAAGUAUAGGGGCUGACACCUGCCCGGUGCUGGAAGGUUAAGAGGAGGAGUGAGAGCUCCGAAUUGAAGCCCCAGUAAACGGCGGCCGUAACUAUAACGGUCCUAAGGUAGCGAAAUUCCUUGUCGGGUAAGUUCCGACCCGCACGAAUGGUGUAACGAUCUGGGCACUGUCUCAACUACCCGCCCGGCGAAAUUGUAGUACCGGUGAAGAUGCCGGUUACCUGCGACAAGACGGAAAGACCCCAUGGAGCUUUACUGUAGCUUGAUAUUGGGUUUCGGUAAUUUAUGUACAGGAUAUGUGGGAGACUGGGAAGUUAUGGCGCCAGCCAUAAUGGAGUCGAUGUUGGGAUACCACACUUAGAUUGCUGGAAUUCUAACCUGUGGCCAUGAAACUGGUCAGGGGACAUUGUCAGGUGGGCAGUUUGACUGGGGCGGUCGCCUCCGAAAGAGUAACGGAGGCGCUCAAAGGUUGGCUCAGCACGGACGGAAACCGUGCAUUAGAGUGUAAACGCGUAAGCCAGCCUAACUGCGAGGGUGACGGCCCGAGCAGUAACGAAAGUUGGAGUUAGUGAUCCGGCGGUAUGUGAAUGGAAAUGCCGUCGCUCAACGGAUAAAAGCUACCCUGGGGAUAACAGGCUGAUCUCCCCCAAGAGUCCACAUCGACGGGGAGGUU
rnacentral:rRNA from 1 species